rnacentral:rRNA from 1 species
AGAGUUUGAUCAUGGCUCAGAUUGAACGCUGGCGGCAGGCCUAACACAUGCAAGUCGAGCGGUAGAGAGAAGCUUGCUUCUCUUGAGAGCGGCGGACGGGUGAGUAAUGCCUAGGAAUCUGCCUGGUAGUGGGGGAUAACGUUCGGAAACGGACGCUAAUACCGCAUACGUCCUACGGGAGAAAGCAGGGGACCUUCGGGCCUUGCGCUAUCAGAUGAGCCUAGGUCGGAUUAGCUAGUUGGUGAGGUAAUGGCUCACCAAGGCGACGAUCCGUAACUGGUCUGAGAGGAUGAUCAGUCACACUGGAACUGAGACACGGUCCAGACUCCUACGGGAGGCAGCAGUGGGGAAUAUUGGACAAUGGGCGAAAGCCUGAUCCAGCCAUGCCGCGUGUGUGAAGAAGGUCUUCGGAUUGUAAAGCACUUUAAGUUGGGAGGAAGGGUUGUAGAUUAAUACUCUGCAAUUUUGACGUUACCGACAGAAUAAGCACCGGCUAACUCUGUGCCAGCAGCCGCGGUAAUACAGAGGGUGCAAGCGUUAAUCGGAAUUACUGGGCGUAAAGCGCGCGUAGGUGGUUUGUUAAGUUGGAUGUGAAAUCCCCGGGCUCAACCUGGGAACUGCAUUCAAAACUGACUGACUAGAGUAUGGUAGAGGGUGGUGGAAUUUCCUGUGUAGCGGUGAAAUGCGUAGAUAUAGGAAGGAACACCAGUGGCGAAGGCGACCACCUGGACUAAUACUGACACUGAGGUGCGAAAGCGUGGUGAGCAAACAGGAUUAGAUACCCUGGUAGUCC